UAAAGGCCGGGUCUCAUCAAUGGACUGCUUGGAUUUAGAAAAAGUCUGACUGGAUAAGCCUGUUCUUAAGGGACAGGUUCAGUGAGGAGGGCCCAGUGGCCACUGGUUGCCCACAUUUCUCUCAGUCCAGGUGGCAGCCACGAUUCACUGGGUGGACUGAUUCUACAGGCACGUUGUUAUGAAAUGAGGUUUCUCUGAGAACAUUCUAACCUGACCACAGGUGUAUUGGAAGAGCUAAGCUGUCAGUCAUAGGAGGAAAUAAAAGAAGAAAAGAGAGGAGGAAGAGAGAAGAUGAAGAACUGAUCUGCUGAGGACUCGGUGAUGUGAGGAGAACUGUGCUGCCAUGGAUGCUUUGAUUAUCAAAAGCAAAGGCCUUGACCAACAGAAGAUCAGACUUCAUUUCUGAGAUUCCCCAAUCCUAAUCCAUGUCAAGGAAAUGACACAUUGGACUUAGUAACUGAUCUUAUGAUUGGCGGUACCUUGACUUCAUGACUAGCACAACUGUGUUUUUCUGUGUCUCAUGUAAUAUGGUAUAAUUGUGAUUAAACGAGUCUUAAAGGUGCAAUGUAACAUUUCCACAUGACAGACCUUGAUUAUCUGGUUGUCAUUAGCAAAACAGAUGAGUUAAGCCUGUGGGACAUUCAUAACUUUAUGUCAAAACACAUUUGUUUUACUACAGACUCAGUAUGU